GAGUGCUUGCACUCAAUUGGAAAGAGGAGUGGCGGACGGGUGAGUAACACGUGGGUAACCUACCCAUCAGAGGGGGAUAACACUUGGAAACAGGUGCUAAUACCGCAUAACAGUUUAUGCCGCAUGGCAUAAGAGUGAAAGGCGCUUUCGGGUGUCGCUGAUGGAUGGACCCGCGGUGCAUUAGCUAGUUGGUGAGGUAACGGCUCACCAAGGCCACGAUGCAUAGCCGACCUGAGAGGGUGAUCGGCCACACUGGGACUGAGACACGGCCCAGACUCCUACGGGAGGCAGCAGUAGGGAAUCUUCGGCAAUGGACGAAAGUCUGACCGAGCAACGCCGCGUGAGUGAAGAAGGUUUUCGGAUCGUAAAACUCUGUUGUUAGAGAAGAACAAGGACGUUAGUAACUGAACGUCCCCUGACGGUAUCUAACCAGAAAGCCACGGCUAACUACGUGCCAGCAGCCGCGGUAAUACGUAGGUGGCAAGCGUUGUCCGGAUUUAUUGGGCGUAAAGCGAGCGCAGGCGGUUUCUUAAGUCUGAUGUGAAAGCCCCCGGCUCAACCGGGGAGGGUCAUUGGAAACUGGGAGACUUGAGUGCAGAAGAGGAGAGUGGAAUUCCAUGUGUAGCGGUGAAAUGCGUAGAUAUAUGGAGGAACACCAGUGGCGAAGGCGGCUCU
rnacentral:rRNA from 1 species